AUGUUGCAAAAACAUAAAAAUGAUUUUUUUUUCUGCAACAUGACCUCUGUUGCAAAAAUCCUCCCCCAACAUCGUCUAUGUUACAAAAAGGGGGAAAACAUUUUUUCUUGCAACAUGACCUUUGUUGCAAAAAUCCUCCCUCAACAUCAUCUAUGUUGUAGAAAGGUGAAAAACGACGGUCGGCACCUGCUGGGCAGUCGUGCCUCCGUUGACCUCCUCUGUGUCGUUCCCGACCAUCAUUGGUCGUCUCCCUAUUGCAAUUGCUAUGCCGGAAUUGCAAGCGACGAUGACGAACAAUAG
rnacentral:rRNA from 1 species